rnacentral:rRNA from 1 species
AUGCUAAUAUCUUGGUCUAUUUGGAAUGAACGAAACGGGAGGGUCUUCCGCAACAAGUCCUCUCUGCCAACAAUCUUGCUCAACAACAUCAAGUUUGAAGCUAAACUCUGGGUCGCCGCGGGCGCAAAAAAGUUAGGGACCAUCAUUCCGGGAGAGUAA